CUUUUCAUGUGCUUGUCGGCCAUCUGUGUGUCCUCUUUGGAGAAAAGUCUGUUCAACUCCUCUGUUGCCUUUUUGUCGAUUGUUUCUUUUGCUGUGCAGAGGCUUUUGAGUUUGAUGUAGACCCACUUGUCUAUUUUUGCUUUUGUUGCCUGUGCUUUUGAUGUCAUAUUCAAGAACUCAUUUCCAAGACCAAUGUUCAUGACACUUUUCCCCCUCUGUUAUCUUCUAAGAGUCUUAUAACUUCAGGUCUUGAAUUUAAGUCUCCAAUCCAUGUUGAGUUGACUUUUGUGUAUGGUAGAAGAUAAGGGUUCAAUUUCAUCCUUUUGCAUAUGGAUAUCCAGCACCAUUUGUUGUUUGGUUCUAAGGGCUUCCUUGGCAGAAUAACAAAUUUACAGUGCCUUGCAGGUUCCCUAUAGUUUCCUUAGAAGUGUUCCUGGGCUGUGUAAGUACCUGACAUAGUGUCCUUGAGGAUGUGGGUUCAUUCCUUGGCCUCACUCAGUGGGUUAAGGAUCUGGCGUUGCUGCAAGCUGUGGCAUAAGUUGCAGAAGUGGCUGUGGCUGUGGCUAUGGUGUAGGCCUCAGCUGCAGCUCAGAUUGGACCCCUGGCCCUAAAACUUCCAUAUGCCUCAGGCGUGGCUAUAAAAAAAAAAGAGAGAGAGAGAGUUCCUGGUUUGUGAAAUCCUGUGAACCAGACUCUCAUAAUGUUACUAUAGUGAUGUUUUAUAUUUGAAAAACUAGGAUAUGUGGUCCCGUAUACAAAUGGCUCUUAUGAAAAGAGUGGGUCAGCCAGGAAUGUUCCAGAAAAUCUGAGCCAUAGGGCCCAUGUCCUUGGAGGCCUGGCAGUUGAUUCCUUGUCCCCAGUUAGACCAUGAGCACUUUGGAGUUGUGGGCCCCACAGAGGAGGCGGAGUUAGUGUGUGUUCACGUCCAUGCAGCCAGGGGUGCUGACACCAGAGAGAUGAAGCCCUUUGCCCACAUCACAGAGCAGCUCAGCCAGAGGUGGCCCGGCCCAGGGUUUCCCAGUUCUUGGGCCAGCACCGUUUGAACAGCACGUGGCUCCCUGCCUACACUAAACAAAACCUUCCUCACCCUGCAGUCUAAAGUGGUUGACAAAGAGCUUUUUCCUUCUGAACUGGAAAGCCUUGAUUGUGCAGAGAUGGGGUUUGUACCCUUUAGUGUCUCCCCCAGCUUGCCAGCAGGGCACCUGACACAUGGGCAGAACAUGUGAAGUGUCUGAACAAGGGGUGACCAGCUUUUUCAAUUGUGAGGCAGCUCUGUGUAGGAGCCAGAAAUUAGAAAAUUCAAAUUCUUUUUCCUGCUCUGGCACAGAUUUGCUUUGUUGACACUGGGCCUCAGUCAUCACAUGUGUUAACAAUAACAGGAACAGUAGUUCCCGUUGUGGCUCAGUGGGUUAAGAACCCAACUAGUAUCCGUGAGAAUGCGGGUUCGAUUCCUGACCUCGCUCAGUGGGUUAAGGAUCUGGUGUGGACGUGAGCUGUGGUGUAUGUCACAGAUGUGGGUCGGAUCUGGCGUUGUGGUGACUGUGGUGUAGGCCAGCAGCUACAGCUUCAAUUCCAGCCCUAACCUGGGAACUUUCAUAUGCUGCCCUAAAAAGAAAAAUGAUAAUAGUAACAUCAACAGCAAUAAUAGGAAACAUGUAAUGAGUGGCUCCUAUGUGUCAGGCAUUGCACUGACCACUUUCAUAGGUAUAAACCCACUUACUCCUCCCAGUCACCCCGGAGAUAGGGCUUAUAUACAGAUGAGGAAACACUAGCCCAGAGGGGUUAAGGAUCUUGUCCAAGGUCACACAGUUAGUUAGAGGGACACUGAAGCACAGGCAGGCCAGCCCCAGAGAUCACCUCAUCACAGAUGAUACUGAGCAUCUAGAAGAGUUUUCUUUUUUGAAGGUGCACGUGAGGCAUAUGGAGGUUCCCAGGCUAGGGGUCUAAUGGGAGCUACAGCCGCCGGCCUACACCACAGCCACAGCAACGCCAGAUCUGAGCCUCGUCUGCCACCCACACCACAGCUCAUGGCAACGCCGGAUCCUUAACCCACUAAGCAAGGCCAGGAAUCGAACCCGCAACCUCAUGGUUCCUAGUUGGAUUCGUUUCCGCUAUUCCACGAUGGGAACUCCUAGAAGAGUUUUCUUUUCUUGCUCAGAAAGGCGGUGAUUAUUUGAUACAGAGAGUGGCAGCCGUUUCCAUUCUGGGCCCUUGGCAAAAUGUUUCUGCUUGAGUUCCUGCAGCCUCUGUUAAAUUGAAACUGUGCACAUCUCUUCCUGGGAGGAAGGUUACUCUUCGGACAGGGCUCCUUGGGAGGAAUUUUGGCAGAGGGAG
rnacentral:lncRNA from 1 species